rnacentral:rRNA from 1 species
GUUGACCUCGGAUCAGGUAGGAAUACCCGCUGAACUUAAGCAUAUCAAUAAGCGGAGGAAAAGAAACCAACAGGGAUUGCCUCAGUAACGGCGAGUGAAGCGGCAACAGCUCAAAUUUGAAAUCUGGCCUCUGGCCCGAGUUGUAAUUUGUAGAGGAUGCUUUUGGUGAGGUGCCUUCCGAGUUCCCUGGAACGGGACGCCAUAGAGGGUGAGAGCCCCGUCUGGUCGGACACCGAUCCUCUGUAAAGCUCCUUCGACGAGUCGAGUAGUUUGGGAAUGCUGCUCUAAAUGGGAGGUAUAUGUCUUCUAAAGCUAAAUACCGGGCCAGAGACGGAUAGCGCACAGUAGAGUGAUCGAAAGAUGAAAAGCUACUUUGAAAAAGAAGGGGUUAAACAG